GCCAAUGUCAAGAACGGGGAAAGUGAUUGAGAAGGGAUUCCUGGCUGAGCUUUUCUGCUUUAUCAUAUACAUAUGUCAAGUAGGAGACUCGAAAUGACUUCUUCUGGUUGGAAUCCCUCGCUCAACGUUUCCUCCUCAGGAAGACGGACUUGUUUUCGACUACCACCGCCAGGGGUACGAGCUCUUGUGCAGGUGAUUCGGUUCGGACACUUCGCUCCAGGGUAUGCCGGACUCAUCCAAUCUAUUCUAAUCUAAUCUGAUAAAAUGGUUUGUGUGCGUGAA